rnacentral:rRNA from 1 species
CCUACGGGAGGCAGCAGUGGGGAAUAUUGGGCAAUGGGCGCAAGCCUGACCCAGCAACGCCGCGUGAAGGAAGAAGGCGUUCGGGUUGUAAACUUCUUUUCUCAGGGACGAAGCAAGUGACGGUACCUGAGGAAUAAGCCACGGCUAAAUACGUGCCAGCAGCCGCGGUAAUACGUAGGUGGCAAGCGUUAUCCGGAUUUACUGGGUGUAAAGGGCGUGUAGGCGGGACUGCAAGUCAGAUGUGAAAACCACGGGCUCAACCUGUGGCCUGCAUUUGAGACUGUAGUUCUUGAGUACUGGGGAGGCAGACGGAAUUCCUAGUGUAGCGGUGAAAUGCGUAGAUAUUAGGAGGAACACCAGUGGCGAAGGCGGUCUGCUGGACAGCAACUGACGCUGAGGCGCGAAAGCGUGGGGAGCAAACAGGAUUAGAUACCCCGGUAGUC